rnacentral:rRNA from 1 species
UGGGGAAUCUUGCGCAAUGGGCGAAAGCCUGACGCAGCCAUGCCGCGUGAAUGAUGAAGGUCUUAGGAUUGUAAAAUUCUUUCACCGGGGACGAUAAUGACGGUACCCGGAGAAGAAGCCCCGGCUAACUUCGUGCCAGCAGCCGCGGUAAUACGAAGGGGGCUAGCGUUGCUCGGAAUUACUGGGCGUAAAGGGCGCGUAGGCGGAUCGUUAAGUCAGAGGUGAAAUCCCAGGGCUCAACCCUGGAACUGCCUUUGAUACUGGCGAUCUUGAGUAUGAGGGAGGUAUGUGGAACUCCGAGUGUAGAGGUGAAAUUCGUAGAUAUUCGGAAGAACACCAGUGGCGAAGGCGACAUACUGGCUCAUUACUGACGCUGAGGCGCGAAAGCGUGGGGAGCAAACAGG